GAUGAAGAACGCAGCGAAAUGCGAUAAGUAAUGUGAAUUGCAGAAUUCAGUGAGUCAUCGAAUCUUUGAACGCACAUUGCGCCCGCUAGUAUUCUGGCGGGCAUGCCUGUCCGAGCGUCAUUUCAACCCUCAAGCCCCCGGGCUUGGUGUUGGGGAUCGGCGAGCCUCCGCGCCCGCCGUCCCCUAAAUCUAGUGGCGGUCUCGCUGUAGCUUCCUCUGCGUAGUAGCACACCUCGCACUGGGAAACAGCGCGGCCACGCCGUUAAACCCCCAACUUCUGAACGUUUGACCUCGGAUCAGGUAGGAAUACCCGCUGAACUUAAGCAUAUCAAUAAGCGGAGGA
rnacentral:misc_RNA from 1 species